GGAUCAACGAGCCUUGAAUCAGCAGAAUUCAUUAAUGCACCCCAGCAGAGGGACAAGGCCAACGGAUUC
rfam:Caenorhabditis briggsae Protein CBR-XBP-1 (Cbr-xbp-1), partial mRNA